rnacentral:lncRNA from 1 species
GUGCUGCUAAUUCUCUCAAUUUCUUCCAGAAAUGGGAAAAUUUAUCUAUAUUAGGAAAUGCGUUCUUCCUUUCUUCAAGCAGGAUGACAGGAUCAGAAUCCCCUUGACUUUGGCAUGGCAGCAACUGCUUGGGCUGGACACCCAGCUAAGGACACAGCUCCAGGAAAGGGUUCUCAGAGUAGUUCCUACAGCUGAAGAAAGAGCCUACACCAACCCCAGGACUUGCCUGUGGGUCACCACACUGCUUUUGGAGGAGAUUUUUGAGGAGUUGUGGGACUUCAGACUCGAAGGGUUGCAUCAUGAUGAAAUCAGGCAAAACUGCUCAUCAGACAGCCAGAAUUUGCAGCUUCCAUCUGCCCCAAGCUGGACUUUGGGCUGGAGGAGUAGCUGCAGGCUGCUGAUCUCCUAA